rnacentral:rRNA from 1 species
GACGAACGCUGGCGGCGUGCUUAACACAUGCAAGUCGAACGGAAAGGCCCUGCUUUUGUGGGGUGCUCGAGUGGCGAACGGGGGAGUAACACGUGAGUAACCUGCCCUUGACUUUGGGAUAACUUCAGGAAACUGGGGCUAAUACCGGAUAGGAGCUCCUGCUGCAUGGUGGGGGUUGGAAAGUGUCGGCGGUUGGGGAUGGACUCGCGGCUUAUCAGCUUGUUGGUGGGGUAGUGGAGUACCAAGGCUUUGACGGGUAGCCGGCCUGAGAGGGUGACCGGCCACAUUGGUACUGAGAUACGGCCCAGACUCCUACGGGAGGCAGCAGUGGGGAAUAUUGCACAAUGGGCGGAAGUCUGAUGCAGCAACGCCGCGUGCGGGAUGACGGCCUUCGGGUUGUAAACCGCUUUCGCCUGUGACGAAGCGUGAGUGACGGUAAUGGGUAAAGAAGCACCGGCUAACUACGUG